UACGAAGGGGGCUAGCGUUGCUCGGAAUCACUGGGCGUAAAGCGCACGUAGGCGGAUCUUUAAGUCAGGGGUGAAAUCCCGGAGCCCAACUCCGGAACUGCCUUUGAUACUGGGGAUCUUGAGUUCGAGAGAGGUGAGUGGAACUGCGAGUGUAGAGGUGAAAUUCGUAGAUAUUCGCAAGAACACCAGUGGCGAAGGCGGCUCACUGGCUCGAUACUGACGCUGAGGCACGAAAGCGUGGGGAGCGAACCGG
rnacentral:rRNA from 1 species